UACAGAGGUCUCAAGCGUUGUUCGGAUUCAUUGGGCGUAAAGGGUGUGUAGGUGGCGCCGUAAGUCGGGUGUGAAAUUUCGGAGCUUAACUCCGAAACUGCAUUCGAUACUGCGGUGCUUGAGGACUGGAGAGGAGACUGGAAUUCAGGUGUAGCAGUGAAAUGCGUAGAGUAUCAUGAGGAAGACCAGUGGCGAAGGCGGUCUCUGG
rnacentral:rRNA from 1 species